rnacentral:rRNA from 1 species
AUACGGAGGGUGCAAGCGUUAUUCGGAAUCACUGGGCGUAAAGGACGCGUAGGCGGGUUGGCAAGUCAGAUGUGAAAUCCUACAGCUUAACUGUAGAACUGCAUUUGAAACUGCUAACCUAGAGUAUGGGAGGGGGAGAUGGAAUUAGUGGUGUAGGGGUAAAAUCCGUAGAUAUCACUAGGAAUACCGAAAGCGAAGGCGAUCUCCUGGAACAUAACUGACGCUAAGGCGUGAAAGCGUGGGGAGCAAACAGCAUUAGAAACCCUUGUAGUCC